AGGAUAAACGCUGGCGGCGUGCAUUAAGCAUGCAAGUCGCACGGAGGGUUUUCGGACCUUCAGUGGCAGACGGCUGAGGACAACGGAAGGAACCUGCCGCGUGCAGGGGGAUACCACCGCGAAAGCGGUGCUAAGACCGCGUACGCUCCCAAGGGGAAGAGACUUGGGAGGAAAACCGAGAGGUGGCACGUGAGGGGCUUCCGGCCCAUCAGGUAGUUGGCGGGGUAAGAGCCCACCAAGCCGAUGACGGGUAGCUGGUCUGAGAGGAUGACCAGCCAGACUGGGACUGAGACACGGCCCAGACUCCUACGGGAGGCAGCAGCUAGGAAUCUUGCGCAAUGGGCAAAGCCUGACGCAGCGACGCCGCGUGGGGGAGGAGGCCUUCGGGUUGUAAACCCCUUUGACAAGGAAGAGGUAGGACGGUACUUGUCGAAGAAGCCCGGCUAACUACGUGCCAGCAGCCGC
rnacentral:rRNA from 1 species